GGACUCCUCAGUUCACCAUGAGGCUCCCUGCUCAGCUCCUGGGGCUGCUAAUGCUCUGUGUCCCUGGAUCCAGUGGGGAUGUUGUGAUGACUCAGUCUCCACUCUCCCUGCCCGUCACCCCUGGACAGCCGGCUUCCAUCUCCUGCAGGUCUAGUCAAAGCCUUGUACACAGUAAUGGAAACACCUACUUGAGUUGGUUACAGCAGAAGCCAGGCCAACCUCCAAGGCUCCUAAUUUAUAAGGUUUCUAACCGGGACUCUGGGGUCCCAGACAGAUUCAGCGGCAGUGGGGCAGGGACAGAUUUCACACUGAAAAUCAGCAGAGUGGAGGCUGAGGAUGUUGGCGUUUAUUACUGCGUGCAAGUUACACACUCUCCUCCCACAGUGGUACAGCCCUGA